GCCAAAGCUCAGUAGCAGAGUAUCUGCUUUGCAUGCAGAAGGUCCCAAGUUCAGUCCCUGGCAUCUCCA